AAAGGAACUCCGUCCAAGAACUGAAAUCUACCCUACUCUAAAUUAGGAAGAAAAAAAAGAGACAACUUACGAAAGGGAAAAGGGGACCGGGUCAUCUUCUACAGCUCAAACCCUAGACUAGGAAAGGGGAUGAUAUUUUGCAUCAGCAUUUUGUGCUCCAACUUUGGGAACCUUCACCAACAACAUGAAACGCCUCAAUUUGUACAUCACAAUUUUGGUUGAGCUCAUCAAGGAUAUAAUACCACUAUCUAAGGCCUUCAAAAAACAAUACUUUUGUCUUCCUCAGACGUAGGUAACUACGAUUAUCAUUUGGCGUAUGGCUGAUCCAGUGAGCAGCUGAGAGUCAGUUGGCGAUCCUCCCUUCAUUUCGAUGGACAUCCUUAUCAUUUAAUUGUGUGCUUCAGUUUUUAGCGAUUAAGAUGAUAAGGGGUCAUGUCCCUAAUUCAUCUUUACUUUAGAGUCUCCAUACAAAGACAAUGUAAGUUUUCAUUGGUCUUUCAUUUCAUUUGUAAAGACUUGAAGUUACCAUUUUGUAUACGUACUGUUUCAAAUUUUUCUCUUCAGUUAUAUCCUA